rnacentral:rRNA from 1 species
UGGGGGAUAUUGCACAAUGGGCGAAAGCCUGAUGCAGCGACGCCGCGUGGGGGAUGAAGGCUUUCGGGUUGUAAACCUCUUUCGCUAUCGAACAAGGCCCGCUUAGGGUGGGUUGAGGGUAGGUGGAGAAGAAGCGCCGGCUCACUACGUGCCAGCAGCCGCGGUAAUACGUAGGGCGCGAGCGUUGUCCGGAAUUAUUGGGCGUAAAGGGCUUGUAGGCGGCUUGUUGCGCCUGCUGUGAAAACGCGGGGCUUAACUUCGCGCGUGCAGUGGGUACGGGCAGGCUUGAGUGUGGUAGGGAUGACUGGGAUUCCAGGUGUAGCGGUGGAAUGCGCAGAUAUCUGGAGGAACACCGAUGGCGAAGGCAGGUCACUGGGCCAUUACUGACGCUGAGGAGCGAGAGCAUGGGUAGCGAGCAGG